rnacentral:rRNA from 1 species
AGUGAACGCUGGCGGUAUGCCUAACACAUGCAAGUCGAACGGCAGCACAGUAAGAGCUUGCUCUUACGGGUGGCGAGUGGCGGACGGGUGAGGAAUACAUCGGAAUCUACUUUUUCGUGGGGGAUAACGUAGGGAAACUUACGCUAAUACCGCAUACGACCUACGGGUGAAAGCAGGGGAUCUUCGGACCUUUCGCGAUUGAAUGAGCCGAUGUCGGAUUAGCUAGUUGGCGGGGUAAAGGCCCACCAAGGCGACGAUCCGUAGCUGGUCUGAGAGGAUGAUCAGCCACACUGGAACUGAGACACGGUCCAGACUCCUACGGGAGGCAGCAGUGGGGAAUAUUGGACAAUGGGCGCAAGCCUGAUCCAGCCAUACCGCGUGAGUGAAGAAGGCCUUCGGGUUGUAAAGCCCUUUUGUUGGGAAAGAAAAGCAGCAGGUUAAUACCCCGCUGUUCUGACGGUACCCAAAGAAUAAGCACCGGCUAACUUCGUG